rnacentral:lncRNA from 1 species
GAUCGUAUUAAAGGUGAUGUAGGACACAUACUUCUGGAUGAUGCGAAUUUUCCAAAACGUCAGGGUUGAACUUGAGCGCCGCAGGUGGUGGUUCACCUCUCCACUUAGGCUCCUAGUUUUCGUGCGGCCCGCAUCAUCUGUUCCGAAGCUCAGGUUUCAGGAAAAUCAGGAGGUUGUUUUCGAGUUUGAUUGCAGGGGUGCAAGCAUCCUCUGGCUCCGUGGCCUGAGGUGCGAGCAUAACAAUUUUGUAACUAGCAAGGACAGAGUGUGGAGAAACGGCAGUGACGGAUGGGUUGUCCGCUAGGAGAUUGAGCUGUCGCAUGAAGAGCGGUUUACAACAAUGCAUGUGUAAGCGUCUCUAGGGAGGCGCAGCCAUUAAAUUUCGCUUGUGAGAAGUCUCUCGUGAGACCAUUUGUGGAUCUGCUCAAGGAAUGAUAAUGCAGCAAUGUUUUUGUGUAUAACUGGAACGUUGUACAUAUAGCAUUGUCAGAUCAACUAUCCGCUGGUUUGCGUAGGCUCGUCAGAGACACGAAUUUUUUGUCAUGGGUUACGCAUCUCAGACAUGGGAGUUAUACCGCUACUAAUGGUUUCAGAGAUUAUGCCGCUAGUUUUUGCGAUGAAAAGCAAACUAGUUGGGGCCCACGACACACAAAGCUAUUGGAGCGUUUUAGGCUAUGUACAUUUAUUUGUUAAAACUUGUAGGGCUGCGAUUUAUGUUGUGUAUUCUUUUGAUGUAUAUUUGACAAUUACAAACUCUUGAAUAGUGUGUUUUUUCAUACCAUUUAAACUGAGUUUUGAGGUACGGCUUACAUUUCUGACUCAAGCAUUGUGUUUUUGGAUGGUUCAUGUGGUUUUUAGUUCGCGUUCUUGUCGAUGUCAUAGCUUGGAUAGCUACCGCCUCAUAAAUGGAAGGUUUGCAAUCCCCUUCUCCAAACGAAUUGUAAGCUCAGUCUUCAAAUCAGAUAAAACUGUGGACGCAUCCUGGUAUUCAUGGAACGUGCCUUCUGCACUUCACAUUAACAUCAGAACGGAAAGUGACUAAAACAUAAAAGUUGAAUGAGAUGAAAUCCUCUAUGAGAUGGAUAAUCUGUCAUUUUGUAAAUUUUUUAAUUCCUAAAUUUUAUAUCCGUUUUAAAAUUCCAUCAGAAAGAAACAAGGGUAUGUCUACCAGAUCAAUUGCUAGACUGAUAUUAGGACUUGCAAAACGAUUACCUUAGCACCUAAUCAUUUACGAGCCGCUUUAAUUCUCAAGCAAUCCUACUACCUGUUGGAGGAUUCAAAUGCAUUUGGUAAUACAGCUUUGCAAUUGGUCACACACUC